rnacentral:rRNA from 1 species
UCCGAGAAGUGGGCGAAUUUCUCUAUGAAUCUGCGAACGGCUCCACAAACCAGUUGUUAAUCGUAGCGAGUCGUAUCCGGCCAUUCACGGGUCGGGUAGCCGGUCAAUAAGGAUAACCCUGGUAAUUCUGAGGCUAAUACUAGACUGUAAUCCCUGGCCGACCGGCAACGGGAAGCUGGGGGACGUGUGAUUAGGCGCAAGAAAAGCCGGGAAAGAAUGCACGUCCAGACCGCGACAAAAACGGAUCGGUUUCGGCCGGCCCGAGCGGCUCUUGCGGGGUGCUUCUGACCUAUCAACUAGAUGGCAGCGUAACGGGCAUGCUAUGGUGGCAACGGGUACAGAGGAUUAGGGUUCGAUCCUGGAGAGUGGGCCUGAGAGAUUA